rnacentral:rRNA from 1 species
UGGGGAAUAUUGGGCAAUGGGCGCAAGCCUGACCCAGCAACGCCGCGUGAAGGAAGAAGGCUUUCGGGUUGUAAACUUCUUUUCUCAGGGACGAAUAAAGUGACGGUACCUGGGGAAUAAGCCACGGCUAACUACGUGCCAGCAGCCGCGGUAAUACGUAGGUGGCAAGCGUUAUCCGGAUUUAUUGGGUGUAAAGGGCGUGUAGGCGGGACUGCAAGUCAGAUGUGAAAACCAUGGGCUCAACCCAUGGCCUGCAUUUGAAACUGUAGUUCUUGAGUGCUGGAGAGGCAAUCGGAAUUCCGUGUGUAGCGGUGAAAUGCGUAGAUAUACGGAGGAACACCAGUGGCGAAGGCGGAUUGCUGGACAGUAACUGACGCUGAGGCGCGAAAGCGUGGGGAGCAAACAGGAUUAGAUACCC